UACGUAGGUCCCGAGCGUUGUCCGGAUUUAUUGGGCGUAAAGCGAGCGCAGGUGGUUUAUUAAGUCUGGUGUAAAAGGCAGUGGCUCAACCAUUGUAUGCAUUGGAAACUGGUAGACUUGAGUGCAGGAGGGGAGAGUGGAAUUCCAUGUGUAGCGGUGAAAUGCGUAGAUAUACGGAGGAACACCGGUGGCGAAAGCGGCUCUCUGGCCUGUAACUGACACUGAGGCUCGAAAGCGUGGGGAGCAAACAGG
rnacentral:rRNA from 1 species